rnacentral:SRP_RNA from 1 species
GGAAGAGGAUUUGAAAUUAAUCAAGGCUGCCCUUUCCAAGCUCAGAAUUGGCGAGAGGAGAGUGAUGGAGGGAGGGAG